rnacentral:rRNA from 1 species
GUGGGGGAUAUUGCACAAUGGGGGGAACCCUGAUGCAGCGACGCCGCGUGGGUGAAGGAGCACCUCGGUGCGUAAAGCCCUAUCGGCAGGGAAGAAAGACGGGCGAGCCCGUCUGGACGGUACCUGAGUAAGAAGCCCCGGCUAACUACGUGCCAGCAGCCGCGGUAAUACGUAGGGGGCAAGCGUUAUCCGGAUUCACUGGGUGUAAAGGGAGCGUAGACGGCCGUGCAAGUCUGGAGUGAAAGCCCGGGGCCCAACCCCGGGACUGCUCUGGAAACUGCGUGGCUGGAGUGCGGGAGGGGCAGGCGGAAUUCCUGGUGUAGCGGUGAAAUGCGUAGAUAUCAGGAGGAACACCGGCGGCGAAGGCGGCCUGCUGGACCGCGACUGACGUUGAGGCUCGAGAGCGUGGGGAGCAAACAGGA